CUACGGGUCGCUGCAGUGAGGAAUAUUGGUCAAUGGGCGCAAGCCUGAACCAGCCAAUCCGCGUGCAGGAUGAAUGCCCUAUGGGUUGUAAACUGCUUUUAUACAGGAAGAAUCCUUCAUACGUGUAUGGAGCUGACUGUACUGUAAGAAUAAGCAUCGGCUAACUCCGUGCCAGCAGCCGCGGUAAUACGGAGGAUGCGAGCGUUGUCCGGAUUUGUUAGGUCUAAAGGGUGCGUAGGCGGAUAAUUAAGUCAGUGGUGAAAUCCUGCAGCUUAACUGUAGAACUGCCAUUGAUACUGGUUGUCUUGAGUUUAGUUGAGGUAAGCGGAAUGUGUAGUGUAGCGGUGAAAUGCUUAGAUAUUACACAGAACACCGAUUGCGAAGGCAGCUUACUAAGCUACAACUGACGCUGAGGCACGAAAGCGUGGGGAGCGAACAGGAUUAGAUACCCCUGUAGUC
rnacentral:rRNA from 1 species